CUGAAUCUGCUGCUAAGCAUUCCAUUUCUCUUGGUUUUUUCAAACUUGCUUUGGAAGCUGGCUGUGAGGUAAGAUAUAUAUUUCACCCAAUUGGUUACCUGCAGUUUACAGCUGUUAAUAUGUUCAACUUUUUUCCAUUGCAAUGGUCUUAUAAAAGUUCAACAUUGCCUGUAGUUGGUAAAUUAGGAAUAGACUACUUUUGUCUUAUUUUUUUCCUGACUAUUAUUUCAGACCCAAUUGGUUACCAGCAGUUUACAGUUGUUAAAAUUUUCACCUUUUUUCCAUUGCAAUGGUUUUAGAAAAGUUCAACACUGCCUGUGUUGGUAAAUUAGGAAGACUACUUUUGUCUUAUUUUUUCCCGACUAUUAUCUCAGCCUCUUCAACGCCUGAGGGACUAGCUAAAAUCCUAUGUGCAGC
rnacentral:lncRNA from 1 species